rnacentral:rRNA from 1 species
UACGAAGGGGGCUAGCGUUGCUCGGAAUCACUGGGCGUAAAGCGCACGUAGGCGGAUCUUUAAGUCAGGGGUGAAAUCCUGGAGCUCAACUCCAGAACUGCCUUUGAUACUGGCGAUCUUGAGUCCGGGAGAGGUGAGUGGAAUUCCUGGUGUAGCGGUGGAAUGCGCAGAUAUCAGGAGGAACACCAAUAGCGAAGGCAGCUCGCUGGGACGGUACUGACGCUAAGGCGCGAAAGCGUGGGGAGCGAACAGG